GUCAUCUCACCCCUCAGGCCCAGGCCUGGUGUUGGGCCUCGUCCCUGGCGGGACGGGCCCGGAAGUCAGCGGCGGUGCCGACCGACCCCCAGCGUUGCAAAUAUCUCACGCUGCGGAGCGGAGCGGUGUCUGUCACCCGCGCAAGAGCGCACCUCUCAAAGGUUGACCUCGGAUCAGGUAGGGAUACCCGCUGAACUUAA
rnacentral:misc_RNA from 1 species